UGUGCCCGGGACGAAAAGCUUCGACCUAACACGUCGAAGUCUGACGGUACCGGGUGAGGAAGCCCCGGCUAACUCUGUGCCAGCAGCCGCGGUAAUACAGAGGGUGCGAGCGUUGUCCGGAAUCAUUGGGCGUAAAGGGCGCGUAGGUGGCCCGGUCAGUCCGUGGUGAAAGCGCGGGGCUCAACCCCGCGUCGGCCAUGGAUACUGCUGGGCUGGAGCACUGUAGAGGCAGGCGGAAUUCCGGGUGUAGCGGUGGAAUGCGUAGAGAUCCGGAAGAACACCGGUGGCGAAGGCGGCCUGCUGGGCAGUUGCUGACACUGAGGCGCGACAGCGUGGGGAGCAAACAGGAUUAGAUACCCUGGUGGUCCACGCCGUAAACGAUGGGCACUAGGCGCUUGGGGGAGCGACCCCCCGAGGGCCGGCGCUAACGCAUUAAGUGCCCCGCCUGGGGAGUACGGCCGCAAGGCUGAAACUCAAAGGAAUUGACGGGGGCCCGCACAAGCGGUGGAGCAUGUGGUUUAAUUCGACGCAACGCGAAGAACCUUACCUAGGCUUGACAUACACGGGAAACCCCUCAGAAACGGGGGGCCCUCUUCGGAGCCCGUGCACAGGUGCUGCAUGGCUGUCG
rnacentral:rRNA from 1 species